UGAGACUCUGUGCGCGUGCAUAUCAAUAAGCGGAGGAAAAGAAACUAACAAGGAUUCCCUUAGUAACGGCGAGUGAAGCGGGAAGAGCUCAAAUUUGAAAUCUUCAAGGUUUUACCUUGACGAAUUGUAGUUUAAAGAAGUGUUUUCUGUUGGAGUUUCGGUAAAAGUUCUUUGGAAUAGGACAUCAUAGAGGGUGAGAAUCCCGUAUUUGACCAUUACUUUCCAGCUGUGUGAUACACUUUCAAAGAGUCGGAUUGUUUGGGAAUGCAGUCCAAGAUGGGUGGUAAAUUUCAUCUAAAGCUAAAUAUUGGCGAGAGGCCGAUAGCGAACAAGUACCGUGAGGGAAAGAUGAAAAGAACUUUGAAAAGAGAGUUAAACAGUACGUGAAAUUGUCAAAAGGGAAGCGUUUGACACCAGUGUUGUUUUCCGAAAAUCAAUUACGAAUGUUUUAUUUUUGAGGAGUUAUGACUUCAUCGGCUUGCUUCUUUCUUUACUGAAACUUUCUUAAUGCACUUUUCGGUUAACAAGUCAACAUCAAUUUCUUUUGUUGUAAAAGGGUAUGAGGAAGGUGGCUUUCUUUUCGGAGAAAGUGUUUAUAGCCUUGUAGCCUCUGCAAUCGGAGAGAUUGAGGUCUGCAGCGUAGAUCCUUCGGGGUUAGAUACGUUUGUGCUAAGUUAUAGCCUUUUCAUAGACAACUUGUUGACUAUAUCAGUCAUGUAGCUUACUCGCUUAUGCUAUUUUACCUACGCUUAGGAUGUUGAAGUCAUCGUAUCGCGC
rnacentral:rRNA from 1 species